rnacentral:rRNA from 1 species
AGCGAACGCUGGCGGCAGGCUUAACACAUGCAAGUCGAGCGGGCACUUCGGUGUCAGCGGCAGACGGGUGAGUAACACGUGGGAACGUACCCUUCGGUUCGGAAUAACGCUGGGAAACUAGCGCUAAUACCGGAUACGCCCUUUUGGGGAAAGGUUUACUGCCGAAGGAUCGGCCCGCGUCUGAUUAGCUAGUUGGUGGGGUAAUGGCCUACCAAGGCGACGAUCAGUAGCUGGUCUGAGAGGAUGCUCAGCCACACUGGGACUGAGACACGGCCCAGACUCCUACGGGAGGCAGCAGUGGGGAAUACUGGACAAUGGGCGCAAGCCUAAUCCAGCCACGCCGCGUGAGAGAUGAAGGCCUUAGGGUUGUAAAGCUCUUUUGUCCGGGACGAUAAUGACGGUACCGGAAAAAUAAGCCCCGGCUAACUUCGUG